GUUGAAUCAAAAAACAAAAUGGCCGCUAGCGUUGUACUGUUGUGUGUUAUGGUCAGCUCAGUAUGGGCGGCUGACAGCGGCUUCACCCCAGGGUGUAGCUUUGUGGGGGGUCAGUGCAUGUACACGGUUCAGCUCGGCCACCAGGGGACAGUGUGACGCCCAGCCAACAACGGUUGUGGCAAGUGGUGACACAAAAUGCUGUGAUGACGUCAAAGGCGACAUUGUUUGGUUGAAAGCUGAGUUGGAGUCGAUCCAGACACAGGUACUCACGCUGACAGCAGCCCUGAACGCCACGACCCAAAACCUCCUUGACGGCCAACAUCGAGGUGCAGACGGUCAAGGCCGAGAGGGACUCGCUAUUGGAGAUGCUGCACCGCAAGGAACUCGAGCUGAACCAGACCACAGACGGAGGUCGCGCGCAUCCUGGGCGUGGCCAGCAAGGAGAUCGAGGCACUGCGCGCUGACGUCACCAACCUGACCAACGCUCUCAGAACGUGCAGGACGGCACUGGGGAUUACCUCAACGGAGGACGG